UACGAAGGGGGCUAGCGUUGCUCGGAAUCACUGGGCGUAAAGGGUGCGUAGGCGGGUCUUUAAGUCAGGGGUGAAAUCCUGGAGCUCAACUCCAGAACUGCCUUUGAUACUGAGGAUCUUGAGUUCGGGAGAGGUGAGUGGAACUGCGAGUGUAGAGGUGAAAUUCGUAGAUAUUCGCAAGAAUCACCAGUGGCGAAGGCGGCUCACUGGCCCGAGUACUGACGCUGAGGCACGAAAGCGUGGGGAGCAAACAGG
rnacentral:rRNA from 1 species